AGCGAACGCUGGCGGCAGGCUUAACACAUGCAAGUCGAGCGGGCAUCCUUGUGGUGUCAGCGGCAGACGGGUGAGUAACGCGUGGGAACGUGCCCUUCGGUUCGGAAUAACUCUGGGAAACUUGAGCUAAUACCGGAUACGUGCGAGAGCAGAAAGGUUUAUCUGCCGAAGGAUCGGCCCGCGUCUGAUUAGCUAGUUGGUGAGGUUACGGCUCACCAAGGCGACGAUCAGUAGCUGGUCUGAGAGGAUGAUCAGCCACACUGGGACUGAGACACGGCCCAGACUCCGACGGGAGGCAGCAGUGGGGAAUAUUGGACAAUGGGGGCAACCCUGAUCCAGCCAUGCCGCGUGAGUGAUGACGGCCUUAGGGUUGUAAAGCUCUUUUCUCCGGGACGAUAAUGACGGUACCGGAGGAAUAAGCCCCGGCUAACUUCGUG
rnacentral:rRNA from 1 species